AUUGAACGCUGGCGGCAGGCCUAACACAUGCAAGUCGAAUGGUAACAGGAAACAGCUUGCUGUUUCGCUGACGAGUGGCGGACGGGUGAGUAAUGUCUGGGAAACUGCCUGAUGGAGGGGGAUAACUACUGGAAACGGUAGCUAAUACCGCAUAACGUCGCAAGACCAAAGAGGGGGACCUUCGGGCCUCUUGCCAUCAGAUGUGCCCAGAUGGGAUUAGCUAGUAGGUGGGGUAACGGCUCACCUAGGCGACGAUCCCUAACUGGUCUGAGAGGAUGAACCGCCCACCGUGAAUUUGGCACCGGCCCGACCCCCUACGGAGGGCAGGAGGGGGGAAUUUUCCCAAAUGGGGGAAAGCCGUAGGCAGCCAUGCCGGGGGUAUGAAGAAGGCCUUCGGGUUGUAAAGUACUUUCCGCGGGGAGGAAGGGAGUAAAAUUAAUUCCUUUGCUCAUUAACGUUACCCGCAAAAAAAGCACCGGCUAACCCCUG
rnacentral:rRNA from 1 species